rnacentral:rRNA from 1 species
UACGUAGGGUGCGAGCGUUGUCCGGAAUUAUUGGGCGUAAAGAGCUCGUAGGCGGUCUGUCGCGUCGAUCGUGAAAACUUGGGGCUUAACCCUGAGCUUGCGGUCGAUACGGGCAUGACUGGAGUUCGGCAGGGGAGACUGGAAUUCCUGGUGUAGCGGUGAAAUGCGUUGAUAUCGAUAGGAACUCCGGUGGCGAAGGCGGCAUACUGGACCACAUCUGACGCUGAGGCGCGAAAGCCAGGGGAGCGAACGGG